rnacentral:lncRNA from 1 species
AUGUUUAUAAUUUUGUAGGUGUUUAACUAUGCUGCUAUGUGUUGUUUAAUUGUGAUGUCCAUGGGUGUUUGUUAGUGGUAGAGCAAUUCAUAUUAUGGGUAUUUCAUGUGGAUUGACCUUGAAAUAAAGGAUAAAAUGAAAGCAGCUCUUCUUACAAAAAGGGAUGAAGCUAGAAACUUGAAGAAGUAGAUGUUUUAAAAAGAGAGGCUAUUGAUAUCAAAAUGGAGGUAACAAAGUGGAAGGUUGAAUAUGGUG